CACUAUCUCACACUACAUAAAACAAAUUAUUAAAUAAUGUCGACUCAAAUUCGUCAAUACAAUCGGGGAUUGCACAAGCGCUCGACUUAUCGUUUUUGUGUGUAAAAACUUAAUAAAAAAUGUCCUUUCGGAUUGAUGACAUUCUCAAAAAGGACGUGAAUUACUUUGAAACUGACAAAAAUUACAACAAACGUGAAAAAAAAUCGGAGUGUUAUUCGACUGCAAACAAUAGUAUUUUACAGAAAACUUUACUAAACCGACCAACUUUUCAAUACUAUAGAUCUAUAAGCGAACCACAUGCUGGAGGCAAUGGAUGUUGGUACCAAAGUGACAGGCUGUACCAUAAUCCGGAACACUACGAUGCAUACAGGACCAAAGCAAUUUCAUAUCCAAACAUAUAUACACGGACGCCCACCUGGUCAAACUAUCACACUUUCCCACUCACUUUUCUUCCACAAUUAUGCUACUUUUCCAAACGAAAAGGGGGCCAAGUUCGUUUCACGGCCAAUCAGACAGAUGCCCUAGAAAAACGUUUUACAUCCCAUAAAUAUCUGAGUCCCGAAGAUAGGAAAUUAUUGGCAGAUUCUUUAAAACUGACAGACCGGCAGGUAAAGACCUGGUUUCAGAAUCGCAGAGCGAAAUGGAGGCGUUGCAAUUCGGUCUCUUCUACAGAAAUUUCGUCAACAAAAUUUGAAGAAAAUAAAGUUAAUGUGUGUAAAAAAUCUGAAAUCUUUGUGAAAUCUCAUAACUAAUAAAUCUUUUUUACCGCUUGUUAUUAAA